UCAUAGCUCAAUAAUCAUGUCUACAACCGUACACCUUCUCAAACUUCUUUUCAUGAUCCUCUUCUCAUGCAUAUGGAGUACUCCUUAUGCUGCAGGAGAAUGGUGGAAUUUAACAUGGGCAGGUGAUGGUCUCAAACCAGGUGACACCCUCAAUUCCUCAUCUUACCUAACUUCUCCAAAUAAAACUUUCUCUUUGUGGUUCUUCCCAUGGGGCAAUACUACUAACUCCUUGUCGUCGUUGGGAAUAUCAGACUUUGCCACAAAUUUUAUAGUAUGGUCGGCUAGUCCAAGCAAACCUAUUGCCAACAACUCCGGAGUACUUACCUUAGAUAACACAGGAACACUUAAAAUCACACGCCUAGGUAGUGAUCCAAUAGUGUUACACUCUUCUUCUCAACCUACCAAUAACACUAUCGCUAUUCUAUUGGAUUCUGGCAAUUUUGUCUUGAGAGAAUUGCACUCUAAUGGAACUAUAAAGCAAGUGUUGUGGCAAAGUUUUGAUUAUCCUACAAACACCCUUUUACCAGGUAUGAAAUUAGGUAUCAGCCAUAGAAAUAAUCUAACUUGGUCGCUUACAUCAUGGUUAAGUGACAACUACCCAGUUCCUGGUCCUUUCUCUCUUAGAUGUGACCCUAAUGGACGUCAAUUAGUCAUUCAGAAAGAAGGUGUGGUUUAUUGGGAAAGUGGGGUGUUGAGAGGCACAACAUAUCAAAAUAAUUUACCAGACGAAACAAGGUCCAUGCAUGUAUGAUUUUGUUACUGUUUCAAAUGAGGAUGAGGAAUAUUUUUCUUUCAUAAAUAAAAACCAAAGCAAAUUGUCCAAAUGAGUGCUAACUCCUAUAGGGCAAAUGAAGGAUUUGGAAGGACCUGUUACUGCACGAGUGGAUGCUUGUGAUGGCUAUAACACUAAUGGGGGAUGCAAGAGAUGGGAGUGUAAGCGGGAGAUUGUGUCUAGUGACCCAUUUGAUGUUAGAUCUGGUUAUUUUGUUGAAGAUGGAGAUCAUUCAACUAACUUGUCAAGUCCAAGGCUUGGCUUCAGUGAUUGUAGAGCUACUUGCUUGAGCAACUGUAGCUAUGUGGCUUUUGCUUCUCUCUAUGAAAAUGGUACUGGGUGCCGGUUUUGGACAGAUAUGUCGAUGUUCCUUCAGAGCAACUCGGUUGGUUCAACUUCUGUAUAUACGCUAUCAUUAAAGCCUUCU